rnacentral:rRNA from 1 species
CUCAGGAUGAACGCUGGCGGCGUGCUUAACACAUGCAAGUCGAACGAUGAACCUGGAGCUUGCUCUGGGGGAUUAGUGGCGAACGGGUGAGUAACACGUGAGCAACCUGCCCCUGACUCUGGGAUAAGCGCUGGAAACGGCGUCUAAUACUGGAUAUGUGACGUGACCGCAUGGUCUGCGUUUGGAAAGAUUUUUCGGUUGGGGAUGGGCUCGCGGCCUAUCAGCUUGUUGGUGAGGUAAUGGCUCACCAAGGCGUCGACGGGUAGCCGGCCUGAGAGGGUGACCGGCCACACUGGGACUGAGACACGGCCCAGACUCCUACGGGAGGCAGCAGUGGGGAAUAUUGCACAAUGGGCGGAAGCCUGAUGCAGCAACGCCGCGUGAGGGAUGACGGCCUUCGGGUUGUAAACCUCUUUUAGCAGGGAAGAAGCGAGAGUGACGGUACCUGCAGAAAAAGCGCCGGCUAACUACGUGCCAGCAGCCGCGGUAAUACGUAGGGCGCAAGCGUUAUCCGGAAUUAUUGGGCGUAAAGAGCUCGUAGGCGGUCUGUCGCGUCUGCUGUGAAAUCCCGAGGCUCAACCUCGGGCUUGCAGUGGGUACGGGCAGACUAGAGUGCGGUAGGGGAGAUUGGAAUUCCUGGUGUAGCGGUGGAAUGCGCAGAUAUCAGGAGGAACACCGAUGGCGAAGGCAGAUCUCUGGGCCGUAACUGACGCUGAGGAGCGAAAGGGUGGGAG